rnacentral:rRNA from 1 species
AUUGAACGCUGGCGGCAGGCCUAACACAUGCAAGUCGAGCGGAUGAAGGGAGCUUGCUCCUGGAUUCAGCGGCGGACGGGUGAGUAAUGCCUAGGAAUCUGCCUGGUAGUGGGGGAUAACGUCCGGAAACGGGCGCUAAUACCGCAUACGUCCUGAGGGAGAAAGUGGGGGAUCUUCGGACCUCACGCUAUCAGAUGAGCCUAGGUCGGGUUAGCUAGUUGGUGGGGUAAAGGCCUACCAAGGCGACGAUCCGUAACUGGUCUGAGAGGAUGAUCAGUCACACUGGAACUGAGACACGGUCCAGACUCCUAAGGGAGGCAGCAGUGGGGAAUAUUGGACAAUGGGCGAAAGCCUGAUCCAGCCAUGCCGCGUGUGUGAAGAAGGUCUUCGGAUUGUAAAGCACUUUAAGUUGGGAGGAAGGGCAGUAAGUUAAUACCUUGCUGUUUUGACGUUACCAACAGAAUAAGCACCGGCUAACUUCGUG